UACAGAGGUCUCAAGCGUUGUUCGGAAUCACUGGCGUAAAGGGUGCGUAGGCUGCACGGUAAGUCAGGUGUGAAAGCCCGGAGCUCAACUCCGGAAUUGCACCCGAUACUGCCGGUGCUUGAGGACUGGAGAGGAGUCUGGAAUUCACAGUGGAGACAGUGAAAUGCGUAGAUAUUGUGAGGAACACUAGUGGCGAAGGCGAGACUCUGGACAGUUCCUGACGCUGAGGCACGGAAGGCCAGGGGAGCAAACGGG
rnacentral:rRNA from 1 species